GGUUAAGGAGGUGAUAAUGUGCAGAUUGCAGAAUGGAAAAAAAAGAUGUUUGCAAAAUGACUGAAGACAAAUGGUUCAGUAGCCUACAGAUGUACUACAAAAACCCAUGGUUAAACUAUGAUUUUUUGAAGCAAAAACCACCCAUGCUUUGAGUUUUCACAAUUCCUCAAUAAAAAAAUUAUAUAAUCUCCAUAAAAUAGCCUAUACAUAGCCUAUUGUAAGUAUUUGGAGAAGAAACAUUUAUGUUCUCCACGUAAACCAUUGAAAUCGGUUAAAUAAAACGUGGUUCUGUUUUUAAAAAUCUCCGGGAAACUUGCGUGUUUUUAGAGCAGUGUGAGCAAACCACGCGGCAGUCGAUGCGACGUCUGUGGCUGCUGAUACAAUCUGGUUUGCAAUGCAUCAUGGAAAUUGUAGUUGAUUUACAUGUACAGUGUUAAA